ACAUCCCGGAAGGAUCUCUCUUGAGAGAGCAUAAUAGAGUGAUGGAUGGUUGUGAACGUGUGAAUGUGUCCCUUUCUUAAUCUAUCUAUCUAUCUAUCUCCCAUCCAUCCAUGCCAUGCCAUGUAUGUUGGUGGGCGAUCGAUCGAUCGAUUGACCGUAGCUCGGUGCGAUCAGCACUAAGGAACAAUGAACUCGGAAGCAGAGGGUCCGCCCCUCAUCGUGCGUGCACAAGGGGAGCCCAAUGCGCCAGAGAUUCUUCGGAAUCAAUCAAUCAAUCAAAUGACUCUCGGCAAUGGAUAUCUCGGCUCUUGCAUCGAUGAAGAACGUAGUGAAAUGCGAUACUUGGUGUGAAUUGCAGAAUCUCGUGAACCAUUGAGUCUUUGAACGCAAGUUGUGCCCGAGGCCUUCUGGCCGAGGGCACGCCUGCUUGGGAGUCAUGGCAUUGCCGCCUUUGCUCCAUGCUGGUGCAGAGCGCGUAAAUUGGCCCCGUGUGCCCUCGGGCACAGUCGGUCGAAGAGCGGGUAGCCAUCGGCAUUCGUCGGGCACGAUGGGUGUUGGUCGCCAUGAGCGGGAACAGAACAUCGUCCCCGUCGUUUCGGGAUGAGUCCUCAAGAGACCCUGUGUGAUUGCGGCGUCGGGCACGUUGAGUGCCGUCGCGCCCAUCAACUUGUGGCCCCAAGUCAGGCGAGACCACCCGCCGAGUUUAAGCAUAUC
rnacentral:rRNA from 1 species